rnacentral:rRNA from 1 species
CACGUAGGGUGCGAGCGUUGUCCGGAAUUAUUGGGCGUAAAGAGCUCGUAGGCGGUGUGUCGCGUCGGAUGUGAAAGCCCGGGGCUUAACCCCGGGUCUGCAUUCGAUACGGGCAGACUAGAGUGUGGUAGGGGAGAUCGGAAUUCCUGGUGUAGCGGUGAAAUGCGCAGAUAUCAGGAGGAACACCGGUGGCGAAGGCGGAUCUCUGGGCCAUUACUGACGCUGAGGAGCGAAAGCGUGGGGAGCGAACAGG